GUAACGGCGAGUGAAGCGGUAACAGCUCAAAUUUGAAAUCUGGCUCCUCGGGGCCCGAAUUGUAAUUUGUAGAAGAUGCUUUGGGUCUGGGCCUGGCCUAAGUUCCUUGGAACAGGACGUCGUAGAGGGUGAGAAUCCCGUAUGCGGCUGGCGCCCGUGCCCGUGUAAAGCUCUUUCAACGAGUCGAGUUGUUUGGGAAUGCAGCUCUAAAUGGGUGGUAAAUUUCAUCUAAAGCUAAAUAUGGGCCAGAGACCGAUAGCGCACAAGUAGAGUGAUCGAAAGAUGAAAAGCACUUUGGAAAGAGAGUUAAACAGUACGUGAAAUUGUUGAAAGGGAAGCGCUGGCAACCAGACUUGGGCGCUGUUGAUCCGCUGGGGUUCUCCCUAGGGCACUCAGCAGUGCGCAGGCCAGCAUCGGUUUGGGGGGUUGGAGAAAGGCUGGUGGAAUGUAGCUGCCCUCGGGCAGUGUUAUAGCCACUGGCGGCAUGCAGCCUCCCCGGACCGAGGACCGCGCUUCGGCUAGGAUGCUGGCGUAAUGGUUGUCAGCGACCCGUCUUGAAACACGGACCAAGGAGUCUAACAUCUAUGCGAGUGUUUGGGUGUCAAACCCAUACGCGGAAUGAAAGUGAACGCAGGUGAGAACCCGUGAGGGUGCAUCAUCGACCGAUCCUGAUGUCUUCGGAUGGAUUUGAGUAAGAGCAUAGCUGUUGGGACCCGAAAGAUGGUGAACUAUGCCUGAAUAGGGUGAAGCCAGAGGAAACUC
rnacentral:rRNA from 1 species